rnacentral:rRNA from 1 species
UGGGGAAUUUUGCGCAAUGGGGGAAACCCUGACGCAGCAACGCCGCGUGGAGGAUGAAGUCCCUUGGGACGUAAACUCCUUUCGAUCGGGACGAUAAUGACGGUACCGGAAGAAGAAGCCCCGGCUAACUUCGUGCCAGCAGCCGCGGUAAUACGAGGGGGGCAAGCGUUGUUCGGAAUUAUUGGGCGUAAAGGGUGCGUAGGUGGUUCGGCAAGUCUUGUGUGAAAUCUUCAGGCUCAACUUGAAGUCUGCACAAGAAACUGCCGGGCUCGAGUGUGGGAGAGGUGAGUGGAAUUUCCGGUGUAGCGGUGAAAUGCGUAGAUAUCGGAAGGAACACCUGUGGCGAAAGCGGCUCACUGGACCACAACUGACGCUGAUGCACGAAAGCUAGGGGAGCAAACAGGAUUAGAUACCCUGGUAGUCCUAGCCCUAAACCAUGAUUGCUUGGUGUGACGGGUACCCAAUCCCGCCGUGCCGUAGCUAACGCGUUAAGCAAUCCGCCUGGGGAGUACGGUCGCAAGGC